GAAUGUGCUUAUUUUAACGUCUAACAUGACAUGAAAGCCACAGAUAUUUUGCUUUCAGUUUAACCUUUACCAUGCAUGGACACAUAGCAUACAUUACAUAUCCAUACAUCAAGACAUGUAUGAACAUUUAAGCAAACAAUGAUAAAAGAGGGAAAGGAGUGAGAGAGCUUUCCAUACACAAUUUAUCACAGUAUGAAACAUAUUGUUUAAAAGAGCUUUACGCUAUGUUUGGAUACCAAAUGAUGGGAGGAAGGAAAAUAAAGAGAGGAAAAUAUUUUUUCUAUUUUCUAUUCUUUAUUCUCUCCUCUUGUUUGGGAAUGGAAGAAAAAUAACGAGGAAAAAGAAAAUAAAGUUUAUUUUCCCUUGUUUGGGAAGAGAUUUUU
rnacentral:misc_RNA from 1 species